GUGAAAUGAUUCAUAAUCGACUCUGGAAACACCAAUGUGCUUUCCUUUACCGGUCCUACGAUUUUGCGUUUAUUGACCAUAAACUACUGCUCUCAGGUUGACUCAUUGCUCUCUCUUCACUCCCUCACUAUAAUUAAACCCCACCACAAAGAACCCUUCUGAUCACCAUGUUUUACUCUUUUUAGCUCUUCCCUUACUUCUUCAUCUCCAACUUCUUUGUUUACUGUUUGAUCUCAACGUUUUCUCUGAUCAUAUCUCUCUAAGCUAUAGAAAUGAAGAAAGCUGUGUUGAAAGUGGAGUUGCAUGAUGAGAAAGCCAAGAAAAAAGCCAUGAAGAUAGUCUCUGGUCUUUCAGGGGUGGAUUCAGUAUCCAUCGACAUGAAGGACAAGAAGAUGACAGUGAUAGGGGGCAUUGAUCCAGUAUGCAUAGUGGCCAAACUGAGAAAGCUGUGUCACACAGAAAAAAUUGCUUCUUUUUCAUAAUUCAGGGAGUUUUGGUAGCUCCAGUUUGAUUUAGUUAUUGUUUCUAUGAGAUUAUUUGGUAUUGAUUUCAAGUGAUUACUGUUUCUUGAUCAUCUUGAUAUUGAUUCAUAACAAAAUUUACAUGGACUUAUAUUGUUGCAGAAAGCUGUGUUGAAAUUGGAGUUGCAUGAUGAGAAAGCCAAGAAAAAAGCCAUGAAGAUAGUCUCUGGUCUUUCAGGGGUGGAUUCAGUAUCCGUCGACAUGAAGGACAAGAAGAUGACAGUGUAGAGGAUAAUCAAAGUGCUUGUGUCAUUUCUUAAUUAAUUUGAUGUUAAAAACAAAUAUAAUACAUAGAGAUGAAAUAAGUGGAAAAAAAUAAUAUGGCUUAGUGGUGGAUUUGGGAAAUUUGGGUGGUUAUUAGAACUUCGUUAGUGAUUACACUACAGCUGUACAAAAGUUGAUGGUGUUGGGUUGUUUUAUAUUAAUGAAUUGUGGGUCUUAUUUUGGUAUUAA